UUGUUUUUAUUUGUUUUUGCUGAAUUGAAAUUACCCCCAUUUUGAUGUUGCUCCUAAUUUCAUGUUGCAGGAUUCUCUUCCAACGAUCUAUCCAUUGCUAGGUAUGGGUAUACGCUUACAUUCACCUACCUUUACAUUACUUUCUUUGUUUGCUAAUUGUACUCUUUUUUUUUCUUUUAUAUGUAAACUGCUAAGAUGGGUGUCUAGAAAAAUAAGGUCAAUAAAAGAAAAUACUUGAGACGGUCAUCUAAAAAAAUCAUAAUUACAAAAAUAAAAAAAAUUAGAAAAAUUGUAAGUCGCACGUAGCGCAUGAUCAAAAAAGAAUCUCCCGCACAUGCGUGGGAGGCUAGUGGUAUUAUAAAUAAAGAGGAUAUAAGCAACAUUACAAUAACAGAUUCAAUACUAAUAAUAUAUAGUUUGACAAAAAAAAAAACUAAUAUUAUACAGAAAAGUUUAAUUAAUAAGUUAAUAUAUAUAAAAUAAAAAAAAACUAAUAAUAUAUAGUUUAAUUAAGAUUUUGCAUGCCCCAGUCUUGGAGAGGCUUGGACAUAAAGCCCCCUUUUAAAAUGGAGGGUGAGCAUGGUCUUGUUCUUGUAACGGAGAUAUUGCAUUUUCUCAAGGGUCUCUUCGAUGCUUGCAGAGCAUAUAAAUAAACCAUGUAAGAGUGCUAGCCGUUGUGUCUUUUCCGGCUGCAAUGAGGCUGAGGACCAUGUCUCGCAAGUACUUUGGAUCAGUCUCUUCCGAUGCCAAAAGCCUUUAAACAAUGUCUACUUUCUUCAACUCUAUAUUCAAUUAUAUUAAUCAAUAAUAACAUGAAAUUAAUUCAAUCCAGGACAAACAUGACCUAGAAGGUAACUCACAGCUCGUAGCUUAUCUUCUGAAUUAUGAAUUGUUUCAAUCUUGUCUUUGAUUAAUUUAUAAACAAAUUGAUCUA